rnacentral:tRNA from 1 species
GUGGGUAUAGGUCAAGUGGUAGAGUGCAUGUUUGGCAUGUGUGAGGUCCUAGGUUCAAUUCCUUGUACCUCCC